UAUUUAUAGAGCACCAACCUGGACCUAUCUGGUUUAAUGGCUGGAAUUUCACAACAGACAAGCUGCUCUCUCACACGCUAUCAGCACACAGUGAAACCCCUAACAAGAUAGGGGGGGCAUAUUUGACUCAUAGCUUACUUUAACAAUUGUGUGAGCAAGGACUCUACCAACUUAUUCUUAAAUUAACAUUGUCAAUGAAGUACAAACAUGUAAACUUACUGCAGGGUAUAACAUUUGAACUAUGCUUCAAUGGCAAGUAGAAAUUUAAAGCAUUGUUACUAUAGGUCUGCUUAGCUUCCUAAAGUCCAUAUCAGACAUAAU